AUGAACGCUGGCGGCGUGCUUAAUACAUGCAAGUCGAACGAAGCACCUCUCCCGUUGAUUGACCUAGCUUGCUAGAGAUUGAAACAAUUGAGGUGACUGAGUGGCGGACGGGUGAGUAACGCGUGGGUAACCUGCCUUGUACAGGGGGAUAACAGUUGGAAACGACUGCUAAUACCGCAUAAGCGCACAGUAUCGCAUGAUACAGUGUGAAAAACUCCGGUGGUACAAGAUGGACCCGCGUCUGAUUAGCUAGUUGGAGGGGUAACGGCCCACCAAGGCAACGAUCAGUAGCCGACUUGAGAGAGUGGUCGGCCACAUUGGGACUGAGACACGGCCCAAACUCCUACGGGAGGCAGCAGUAGGGAAUAUUGCACAAUGGGGGAAACCCUGAUGCAGCGACGCCGCGUGAAGGAUGAAGUAUUUCGGUAUGUAAACUUCUAUCAGCAAGGAAGAAAAUGACGGUACUUGACUAAGAAGCCCCGGCUAAAUACGUG
rnacentral:rRNA from 1 species